GUGGGGAAUAUUGGUCAAUGGGCGAAAGCCUGAUCCAGCAAUGCCGCGUGAGUGAUGAAGGCCCUAGGGUUGUAAAGCUCUUUUACCCGGGAUGAUAAUGACAGUACCGGGAGAAUAAGCUCCGGCUAACUUCGUGCCAGCAGCCGCGGUAAUACGAGGGGAGCUAGCGUUGUUCGGAAUUACUGGGCGUAAAGAGCGCGUAGGCGGUUUUUUAAGUCAGAGGUGAAAGCCCGGGGCUCAACCCCGGAAUAGCCUUUGAAACUGGAAAACUAGAAUCUUGGAGAGGUCAGUGGAAUUCCGAGUGUAGAGGUGAAAUUCGUAGAUAUUCGGAAGAACACCAGUGGCGAAGGCGACUGACUGGACAAGUAUUGACGCUGAGGUGCGAAAGCGUGGGGAGCAAACAGGAUUAGAAACCCGUGUAGUCC
rnacentral:rRNA from 1 species